GAUGAACGCUGGCGGCGUGCCUAAUACAUGCAAGUCGAGCGAACGGACGAGAAGCUUGCUUCUCUGAUGUUAGCGGCGGACGGGUGAGUAACACGUGGAUAACCUACCUAUAAGACUGGGAUAACUUCGGGAAACCGGAGCUAAUACCGGAUAAUAUUUUGAACCGCAUGGUUCAAAAGUGAAAGACGGUCUUGCUGUCACUUAUAGAUGGAUCCGCGCUGCAUUAGCUAGUUGGUAAGGUAACGGCUUACCAAGGCAACGAUGCAUAGCCGACCUGAGAGGGUGAUCGGCCACACUGGAACUGAGACACGGUCCAGACUCCUACGGGAGGCAGCAGUAGGGAAUCUUCCGCAAUGGGCGAAGGCCUGACGGAGCAACGCCGCGUGAGUGAUGAAGGUCUUCGGAUCGUAAAACUCUGUUAUUAGGGAAGAACAUAUGUGUAAGUAACUGUGCUCAUCUUGACGGUACCUAAUCAGAAAGCCACGGCUAGCUACGUG
rnacentral:rRNA from 1 species